rnacentral:RNase_P_RNA from 1 species
ACAGUAUGUGCGAUCUGCGGAGCAAAAAAAUCCAACAUCUCCCCGAGGAAAGUCCGGGCUCCACGGAACACGGUGGCGGGUAACGCCCGCCCGGCGCAAGCCGAGAGACAGUGCCACAGAAACAAACCGCCUUUUUCGCGCGGUACUGGCGGCAGCGAGGGCAGCAGCCCGAGCGAGCCAUCAGCCCGCGAAGCGGCGCGAAGCAUCGCACAGCAUGUGCGAUUUGCGGAGCACCAAUAAGGUAAGGGUGAAAAGGUGGGGUAAGAGCCCACCGCGCCGCUGGUAACAGCGUGUGGCCAGGCAAACCUCACCGGGAGCAAGACCAAAUAGGCGUGCAGUGGUUCAAUCCACGGGCCGUUCCGGGCCGCACGCGGGUAGGUUGCUUGAGCCAUGCAGCAAUGCAUGGCCUAGAUGAAUAGCCAUCCAUCCCAGCAAUGGGGGGACAGAACCCGGCUUACAGGCCAUCUGGUGUU